rnacentral:miRNA from 1 species
GGUGGGGGCUGUUGUUU